CUACGGGUUGCUCCAGUGGGGAAUAUUGCACAAUGGGCGCAAGCCUGAUGCAGCAACGCCGCGUGAGGGAUGAAGGCCUUCGGGUUGUAAACCUCUUUUAGCAGGGAAGAAGCGAAAGUGACGGUACCUGCAGAAAAAGCACCGGCUAACUACGUGCCAGCAGCCGCGGGAAUACGUAGGGUGCAAGCGUUGUCCGGAAUUAUUGGGCGUAAAGAGCUCGGAGGCGGUUUGUCACGUCUGCUGUGAAAAUCCAAGGCUCAACGUUGGACUUGCAGUGGGUACGGGCAGGCUAGAGUGCGGUAGGGGAAAUGGGAAUUCCUGGUGUAGCGGUGGAAUGCGCAGAUAUCAGGAGGAACACCAAUGGCGAAGGCACAUCUCUGGGCCGUAACUGACGCUGAGGAGCGAACGCGUGGGGAGCGAACAGGAUUAGAUACCCGCGUAGUC
rnacentral:rRNA from 1 species